GGCCCCUUCGUCUAGUGGCCUAGGACAUCGCCCUCUCAAGGCGAAGAUCACCGGUUCGAAUCCGGUAGGGGCUA
rnacentral:tRNA from 1 species